AUUGAACGCUGGCGGCAUGCUUUACACAUGCAAGUCGAACGGCAGCGCGGGGCAACCUGGCGGCGAGUGGCGAACGGGUGAGUAAUAUAUCGGAACGUACCCAAGAGUGGGGGAUAACGUAGCGAAAGUUACGCUAAUACCGCAUACGACCUAAGGCUGAAAGUGGGGGAUCGCAAGACCUCAUGCUCCUGGAGCGGCCGAUAUCUGAUUAGCUAGGUGGUGAGGUAAAGGCUCACCAAGGCUACGAGCAGUAGCUGGUCUGAGAGGACGACCAGCCACACUGGAACUGAGACACGGUCCAGACUCCUACGGGAGGCAGCAGUGGGGAAUUUUGGACAAUGGGCGCAAGCCUGAUCCAGCAAUGCCGCGUGAGUGAAGAAGGCCUUCGGGUUGUAAAGCUCUUUUGUCAGGGAAGAAACGGUCUCAGCUAAUAUCUGGGGCUAAUGACGGUACCUGAAGAAUAAGCACCGGCUAACUACGUGCCAGCAGCCGCCGUAA
rnacentral:rRNA from 1 species